GGAUGAGCCCGCGGCCUAUCAGCUUGUUGGUGAGGUAAUGGCUCACCAAGGCGACGACGGGUAGCCGGCCUGAGAGGGCGACCGGCCACACUGGGACUGAGACACGGCCCAGACUCCUACGGGAGGCAGCAGUGGGGAAUAUUGCACAAUGGGCGAAAGCCUGAUGCAGCGACGCCGCGUGAGGGAUGACGGCCUUCGGGUUGUAAACCUCUUUCAGCAGGGAAGAAGCGAAAGUGACGGUACCUGCAGAAGAAGCGCCGGCUAACUACGUGCCAGCAGCCGCGGUAAUACGUAGGGCGCGAGCGUUGUCCGGAAUUAUUGGGCGUAAAGAGCUCGUAGGCGGCUUGUCACGUCGGUUGUGAAAGCCCGGGGCUUAACCCCGGGUCUGCAGUCGAUACGGGCAGGCUAGAGUUCGGUAGGGGAGAUCGGAAUUCCUGGUGUAGCGGUGAAAUGCGCAGAUAUCAGGAGGAACACCGGUGGCGAAGGCGGAUCUCUGGGCCGAUACUGACGCUGAGGAGCGAAAGCGUGGGGAGCGAACAGGAUUAGAUACCCUGGUAGUCCACGCCGUAAACGGUGGGCACUAGGUGUGGGCAACAUUCCACGUUGUCCGUGCCGCAGCUAACGCAUUAAGUGCCCCGC
rnacentral:rRNA from 1 species